rnacentral:rRNA from 1 species
GAUGAACGCUGGCGGCGUGCUUAACACAUGCAAGUCGAACGGGAUCCAAGGGGUGCUUGCACUUUUUGGUGAGAGUGGCGAACGGGUGAGUAACACGUGUGUAACCUGUCUUUUUCUUUGGGAUAAGCAUUCGAAAGGGUGUUUAAUACCUUAUGUUCUGUCUGCCUCGCAUGGGGCGGGUGGGGAAGGCUUUGGCCGGACUUGGGUGGGCUCGCGGUCUAUCAGCUUGUUGGUGUGGUGAUGGCUUAGCAAGGCUUUGACGUGUAGCCGGCCUGUGAGGGUGGUCGGACACAUAGGGGCUGCGAACCGCUACAGGAUCCUGCGGGAGGCAGUAGUGGGGGAUAUUGCACAAUGGGCCAAAGCCUGAUGGAGCGAGGCCGCGUGGGGGAUGAAGGCCUUCGGGUUGUAAUCUUCUUUUGCUCUGAACAAGGCAUGCCAGUGGGUGUGUUAAGUGUAGGGGUUAAAUAGCGCCGGCUAACUACGUG